rnacentral:rRNA from 1 species
UGCGCAGGCGGAACAAUAAGUCAGUGGUGAAAUCCUACGGCUCAACCGUAGAACUGCCAUUGAAACUGUUGUUCUUGAGUAUAGUUGAAGUGGGCGGAAUGUGUCAUGUAGCGGUGAAAUGCAUAGAUAUGACACAGAACUCCGAUCGCGAAGGCAGCUCACUAAACUAUAACUGACGCUCAUGCACGAAAGCGUGGGGAGCGAACAGGAUUAGAUACCCUGGUAGUCC